GAGUAUGGCCAUGCCACCUCAAACAAGCCAGAUCCCGUCUGAUCUCAGAAGCUAAGCAGGGUCGGGGCCUGGUUAGUACUUGGAUGGGAGACCACCUAGGAAGACCAGGUGCUGUAGGCA
rnacentral:rRNA from 1 species